ACUAUUUUUACGAAAUACUGUUUUGUGGAGUUAAUUCAAAAAUUAUACAUCUCACAGAUGUAUAAUGCUAUAUGUAAAUGAUUGUGAUUACAAAAGAAAGCAUUGCUAAGAGAAGGCUGCAAGCAUGGUAAAGAUUUAGUUGACAAAAGUCAGUCUUAGGAUGCAUCAAUCUUAGCAUUGGCUCAUCCUUCUGGAUCAAUGCUGUAGUAUGCAAUUCCGUCAACGUUUCCUUACUCCACAUCUGCCAGGUACAUAUGUCUAUAUGCAUCUAUGUAUGUCGUACGUGUGAGUUUUAAAUUUUUCAAUAUGAAUUUUUAGUUUUAUUUGUUCAAGUUAUUGCUAUAUUUGUUGCAAAGGAAACAGAAACUCCAAAGAAAACAGAUCCUAUGGCUUAAUUAUGAUGGAGAGACUGACUAGAAGUGAAUAAGGGCAAAAUGAUAAUGUUUUCCAGGUAGGUACUUUUAUUGUCUUCACUUCAUGUUCAUUAUUAUUGAAAUCUAUGCAAGCAAUUUAAAUUCGAUAUGUCAUUGGUUUUACCUCCUUCAGCUUUCCUAAUGCAGGAUAAGACUCUUAGUCAUCCAUACGUACUGAUAAUUUCAUUGCAUAAAUUCCCAUUUUCUAAUAUGAAUGUACUUCUCUUGUUUUAAUUAUCUUGAAAGACUAUGUACUUUUAAUAUGUACUAU
rnacentral:lncRNA from 1 species